GGAUGAAGAACGCAGCGAAAUGCGAUACGUAGUGUGAAUUGCAGAAUUCCGUGAACCAUCGAAUCUUUGAACGCAAAUUGCGCUCGAGGCCUCGGCCAAGAGCAUGUCUGCCUCAGCGUCGGCUACUACCCUCAACUAAGUUUCCUAUACACAUAGGGGAUGCCGGUUGGAUCUGGCCGUCCGGUUUGCCUUUUAGGUUGCCGGUCAGCUGAAAUACAUUCACGCUCUGGGGGCUGCUUUCCUUCCGAGGAGAGGCGAGUUCCGAUUUAGUAGGUGACCUUUGCCGGUUGCAUGCCUUCGUUGCCCGCUAAGCUUUCCAGUAUGCGUUGUGCAGGACGCCUUUUGGCUUUCGACCUGAGGUCAGGCAAGAACACCCGCUGAACUUAAGCAUAUCAAUAAGCGGAGGA
rnacentral:misc_RNA from 1 species